rnacentral:rRNA from 1 species
AACGAACGUUGGCGGCGUGGAUGAGGCAUGCAAGUCGAACGCGAAAGCCGCAAGGCGAGUAAAGUGGCGGACGGGCGAGUAACACGUAAUCAAGCUGCCCAAGAGACGGGGAUAACCUCGGGAAACCGAGGCUAAUACCCGAUGGUCUGCCGGGGGCGCAUGUUCCUGGUAGUAAAUGGACGGGAUCCUUCGGGACCGUCUGCUUUUGGAGGUGAUUGCGGCCCAUCAGCUAGUUGGUAGGGUAACGGCCUACCAAGGCAACGACGGGUAGCCGGCCUUAGAGGGUGGUCGGCCGCACUGGGACUGAGACACUGCCCAGACUCCUACGGGAGGCUGCAGUCGAGAAUCUUCCGCAAUGGACGCAAGUCUGACGGAGCGACGCCGCGUGGAGGAUGAAGGCCUGGUUGUAACUCCUGUCACGAGUUAAGAAGAGGUUGUCGACGAACAGUGGCAGCAUUUGACGUAAGCUCGAGAGGAAGCACUGGCUAACUCUGUGCCAGCAGCC